UAGAAGCCACUAAACCUCUUCACACUCACUCAUGUAACUAUUAAUUUAAAUUAAUUUGAAUAAACCCUACAAAAAAGAAAAAGCGUAACCUACUACUCUUUAACCUGACAAAAAAUGGAAGCUAAUUUUCCAUACAAAGUUCACUUUAUAUUAUACAAGUUUAAUUACAUACAAUCUUAGACUUUUUUGUAAGUCACACCAAGCAAUAAAAAGGGAGGUUGGGGUGUCUAUUAAAUUUAAGGACCCAUAAAAUCAACCACAUUUAUAUGCCUUACUGCAAUAAAAAGAAAAGCACUUUUCAAUUCAAUUAAUAAACUAUUAAAAGUUAAUUUCCUACUCAAUCAAACCCAUUAAAGCAGUAAGAAAAAAAAGGGUUUAGAUGGAAUCUACUAAUAACUCACUGAUUAAGUUUUAAUAUUAAAAAAGUUGUACGAAUCAACCUUUAUAUUGUACAAGGAAAGUGAUCAUCGCAGACUGUAAAUCAGGUUUUGUUGUUUUGUUUUAGUUUCCUCCUACAUUCUUUGGAAGAAACUAAUACAAAUCAGAGAAUUUGAGAAUCCAAAUUUUGGGUUGAAGAAGUUUUUGUUUCUGUAGAGAAAACAAUGUUUAAGUCAUGGAGGAACGACAAGAACAAGAUCAAGGCUGUGUUCAAACUUCAGUUUCAGGCAACUCAGGUUUUGUGUUUUGUCUCUUUAAAUCUCAAAACCCAAUUAUAUUUCUCUGUUAAAUUCAGACAAUGUGUUUACUAUAUAUUCUAGAUCUGUUAACUCUUAAGUUUCAAGAUUUGUUAUGAAUGUGAAUGUGAAAAUCUGGGGAUGAUCUCAGGUGCCGAAGCUGAAGAAGACUGCUUUGAUGAUCUCAUUGGUACCUGAUGAUGUUGGGAAGCCAACAUUUAAGCUUGAGAAAUCUGAGGUUAAAGAAGGGAUCUGUUCAUGGGAGAAUCCAAUUUAUGUGUCAGUGAAGCUAAUCAAAGAACCAAAAACUGGGAUUGUUCGUGAGAAGAUUUACCAUUUCGUUGUUGCAACAGUGAGUCAAAACAAACAAUCUCUGUGAAUAUGUCUUUUGAGUCAUUCUGGAAAAAGAAAGGCUCAAUUUUUUCCAAAAUCUGUUUCAGGGUUCUUCGAAAUCGGGUUUUCUAGGAGAAGCUUCCAUUGAUUUUGCAGAUUUUCUGACAGAAGCAGAUCCAUUAACUGUCUCCUUACCUCUCAAAUUUGCCAACUCUGGUGCUGUCUUAAAUGUAAUCUCUUUUCUUCUCCUUUUUGAAACCUGAGUUAGAAAUUGCAUCAAAUAUGUAAGAAAUGUAUGAGAUGUUAUAUAAACUGUUUGGUUGUUGGUGCAGGUGACAAUCCAUAAGAUACAAGGAGCGAGUGAUUUAAAGUAAGAGUAGUUUUUUUUUCUGUGGUUGUUGUCUCCUGUUUUCUUUGUAAGAGAUUUUUGACAUCAAAUUUUGUAGAUUUAUUGAGGAAAAUAAAGAUCAAACACUUAGCAAAGAAGACAGCUUCAAAAGUCUACAAAGCAAUGAUGACUUAGAAGGAUAUAACCAAGAUGUAAGGUUCCUUGUUCAGAGAGUUAAAUAAACUGUGUUGUCUAUUGAGAAAGAUCGUGAUAGUUAUCGAUCUUUUGGUAUGUAGGAAAGGAGCUUAGAUGUGAACACGGCUAAGAAUGCUGGCCUAGGAGGUUCCUUUGAUUCCAUUGGUGAAUCUGGAUGGAUAGAUGAUGGGAAUGCACGGUUACCUCAACGACAUAACUCAGUUCCUGCAACAAGAAACGGGCAUCGAAGAUCAAACACAGACUGGUCAGCUAGUUCGACAUCAGAUGAAAGUUACAUUGAGUCAAGAAAUAGUCCUGAGAACAGUUUCCAAAGAGGUUUCUCUAGUGUUACUGAAUCGAGUGACCCUAUUGAAAGGCUCAAGAUGGAAUUGGAAGCUUUGAGGAGGCAAUCGGAGUUAUCUGAGUUAGAAAAACAGUCUUUAAGGAAACAAGCCAUAAAGGAGAGUAAACGGAUACAGGAACUGUCUAAGGAAGUUAGUUGUCUCAAGGGUGAACGUGAUGGAGCUAUGGAAGAGUGUGAGAAGCUCAGGUUGCAGAAUAGUAGAGAUGAGGCUGAUGCUGAAAGCAGAUUGAGAUGCAUCAGCGAAGAUUCGAGUAAUAUGAUUGAGGAGAUUAGAGAUGAACUGAGUUGUGAGAAGGAUUUGACGAGUAACCUUAAGUUGCAGUUGCAGAGGACACAAGAGUCAAACUCUAAUUUGAUUCUUGCUGUGAGGGAUCUCAAUGAGAUGUUGGAGCAGAAGAACAAUGAGAUAUCUUCUCUGAAUAGCUUAUUAGAGGAGGCUAAGAAGCUUGAAGAGCAUAAAGGAAUGGAUUCUGGAAACAAUGAGAUAGAUACGCUAAAGCAACAGAUCGAAGAUUUAGAUUGGGAGUUAGACUCUUACAAGAAAAAGAACGAAGAACAAGAGAUACUAUUAGAUGAGCUUACUCAGGAAUAUGAGUCCUUGAAAGAGGAAAAUUACAAAAACGUUUCCUCAAAAUUAGAGCAGCAAGAAUGCUCAAAUGCAGAAGACGAAUACUUGGAUUCCAAGGAUAUUAUAGACGAAUUGAAAUCUCAGAUAGAGAUAUUGGAAGGCAAACUGAAGCAGCAAUCGUUGGAGUAUUCUGAGUGCUUGAUUACAGUUAAUGAACUUGAGAGUCAGGUGAAAGAGUUAAAGAAAGAACUGGAGGAUCAGGCACAGGCUUAUGAUGAAGAUAUCGACACAAUGAUGCGGGAAAAAACUGAACAAGAGCAAAGAGCCAUCAAAGCAGAGGAGAACCUGAGGAAAACAAGAUGGAAUAACGCUAUAACUGCAGAGCGGCUUCAAGAGAAAUGCAAGAGGCUUUCUCUAGAAAUGGAAUCGAAGCUGAGCGAGCAUGAGAAUCUGACGAAAAAAACAUUGGCUGAAGCCAACAACCUUCGUCUGCAAAACAAAACUCUUGAGGAAAUGCAAGAGAAAACACAUACCGAGAUUACACAAGAGAAAGAACAAAGGAAGCACGUGGAAGAGAAGAACAAAGCUUUGUCAAUGAAAGUCCAGAUGCUUGAAAGUGAGGUCCUGAAGCUCACAAAGCUGAGAGAUGAGUCGAGUGCAGCAGCUACUGAAACCGAGAAGAUAAUACAAGAGUGGAGGAAAGAAAGAGAUGAAUUUGAGAGAAAACUUUCUUUGGCUAAAGAAGUAGCCAAGACAGCGCAGAAAGAGUUAACUCUCACUAAGUCGUCAAAUGAUGAUAAAGAGACAAGGCUCAGGAAUUUGAAGACAGAAGUAGAAGGUCUAAGCCUACAGUACAGUGAAUUACAAAACAGCUUCGUUCAAGAAAAAAUGGAGAAUGAUGAACUGAGAAAACAAGUAUCAAACCUGAAAGUCGAUAUUCGGAGAAAAGAAGAAGAAAUGACUAAAAUCCUAGAUGCAAGGUAUGUGGACAAUAAACUAACUAAACUGGAAUGUUAUUUGCGUUAUGAAUAUUUGACUUAAUUAUGAUCUAACACGGAAAGUAAACAGGAUGGAAGCAAGGUCACAAGAAAACGGACACAAAGAGGAGAAUCUAUCAAAGCUAUCAGACGAAUUGGCGUAUUGUAAGAACAAAAACAGUUCAAUGGAGAGAGAGUUGAAAGAAAUGGAAGAGAGAUAUUCAGAGAUAAGCCUGAGAUUUGCAGAGGUAGAAGGAGAAAGACAACAACUUGUGAUGGCUGUCAGAAACCUCAAGAACGGUAAGAAGUUCUAGUAUUUGUAUGUCGCUGCGAAUACAGGUGUUGUCAGAUCAUAGUAGAAAUCACUAUAUAACUUGUACUGUUAAUAGAAUUCGUUUCUCUCAUAAAACAUUAUUUUAAACUUAUCAAGAAAUCAAUAUUUUCCACUGAAAUAAGUAACGCUUACAUAAGAUUUUGAGAUGCCCACUUCCAAAAUCUGAUCAUAUCCACUGAUUGGUUUUUGGUUAGUUUCCAAUUGCUACGCCGUGUUUGUUUCUUUACUUCCAUACAAGUUUUGUUUGGCCAGUUCCAUUCGCUGUGUAAGAUAGAGACUGGAAUGAAAAAAAAAAGAUGUUAAAGAAAUCAACGGUAUGAACAAAUCUCACUUCUAUAGGGAUCAUAUAUAAUGAAUACCUGUUUUGCUCGCUUAUCAAUUGGUGUGCAUGACUUAAGAGGCGAGUAAAAUCUCUCGUUUUUUGGUGAGGCUGAAGAAUUCUUUGACCGCUUCUGCCUCUUCUCUUCUUGAAGUUUGUUGCCUCCUUUAUACUUGAAAAACUCGAGUAUGGAUGGACUCUUUCUCUUGGUAUUAGCUUUCUUUAUGUUCCCUGGAGUCUCCAAACUAGGUGGAGAAGCAUAAGAAGGAAGAGAUUGUUGUUGUUUCCUUGCUCUGCUUCUUUCUCGAACUCUGUUAAGGAAAUCAACCGUCCAAGGAGAACUUUGUACUUGAUUUGAAGAACGGAUUGCGUUUGAUAGUGGAGAUCCACCAAAAUGUGAUAUUUCUUCUCUAAAUGGAAGCUCUGUUGUUGGAACUGCAGAUCUUCGUGUUAAGACCUCCUCCAAAAGGGUCCUUUGGCGUUUUGCUGGAUAGUUAUCAGCAUAGCCACGCAAAGAAGUGUUGUUAUCAUAUUUUGAAUCUUUCUCAGUGGCGUAUCUUUCAGAACUCGAGUCGAUGUCAGCCGCCUUUGGGAAGUUAGGCUGGAGAGAUCCAAAGAAAGAUAACUUCCUUGAAGAUUUUGAUUUUCUUGGAAGUUCCUCUUCAUUAACAUCAGAAACUAUUCGAGCAAACCUAUUAUAACCAGGAGAAGGCGGGAAGUCUUCCUCGAGAUACUUAUCAGCUCUGUCAAUUACUUCACCUUUGUAGUCUGCGAUGAAAUUCUCCGAGUUCCUAUUGUCAUGCAAGUUAAAAUCUCUCAUCACCGGAAAUUUACAUCCUCUGUUCUGGCUCAUGAAUUUGUCUUUAACUGGGAAACUCCAAUCUUCUAAUUCAGGAAUUCCAGGAAGACUGUCCUCCACUGAAAAAUCAGGCUGAUCUUUCUCCCAAAAUGUGUCCUUUGAUGAUGAACCAGGUCCUGACUUCUUGUCAAAUCUCUCAGGAUCUUUAGACGGCCAAGAGUCAUUGGGAUGACUGAUCCCAGAAGGUUUGAAAGGUGCAUCUGAGAAUUCAGUGACAGGGUCAAAAUGAAAGAUCUCAUGAUCUUUCGAUGACCAAGAAUCAUCAAGUUGGAAAUCCCCAGAAGACUUGAGCUGUGUAUCAGCAAAUUCUAUCGAGGGAGAAAAAUGCACCAAGUCGUCCAUAUCUAUCUCAUCUUUCUCAGCAAUGUACUGUUUCUUUUUUGAGCCAGAAUGGACACUGACAUGGUGUGUGUCUGAGUCAGGUCCAGAAGAUACCGAAGAAGAGCUGUCUGUCAUUACAGAUCUGGAGUCCUCCCUUGCUCCGUAUCUGCAUACUGAACUGAAUAGAUCAACACUCUCUUCAGGUACAUGAUACUUUUGCGUCCUUUCAACCUUGCUUUUAUGUGGGAGCUUCAUGAAUUCGAGAAGUGACCCAGAAGAUGACAGAAUUACUUGAGCUGUGAGUGGAUUCACGGAAGGAAACUUGGUGAGAAAUGAUUCUGCUAGAGAUUCUGACUCGGGCAUUUUGACAUGGAGUUUGGACAACUUAACAGAAGAUUUGAUACACUUCAAUAUAAUUUCAUCCGUGAGAUUAGCUGACGAUGAGCAAAACAUCUGUAAACUGAUUCCUAGGCUACCAGCUGCUGCAUACAGUUCAUCAGAGGAGUCCAUUACGGCAGCCAGGAAGGCGGGUUCCCCCUCAAAAACCUGUACGAAAAAUAACAAUCGUUCUUUAAGUUCUCUGGACUCAGUCUACAGUUUAGAAGAAAAUGUUGCAGAGACUUUAGUAUAUGAGUGAGUAUUAAACAUCUAGUAAGUUUGUAAUCAUCAAAUUAGCAAAAAUAAUAGAAGAUGAUUCUUAAAGUGAAAGGUCCACAUAUAUACUGCAACGUUCCCACAAAAGAACGGCAAAAAGCAAAGUUUGGUGGAAUUUACCAUAAUGCAAGUGCUGAAACUGAAACUCAAUGACGUCAAAACAUUAGUUGCGAUAUCUCCAAUCCAUGAAAGUGAACUUGAGGAAGUACCAAUAGUUGCAGCCGACUUCUUACUAACAGUUUCACUAUCAUACCAGAGUAGGCAAACUGCAGGACUUAACAUCAGGUCCACAGGUAGAUCUGAAUCGCGCUCCACAACUUGCACUCCUUCUUUUUCCAUUGCUAACACCUUCUGGUAUGUACUUCUUCUGGAUAUGAUCAUCUCCUUAUCGACAGUUUUUGUGUUCACAACAAUCACAGAUCUUUGGUCAGAGAGACCCUGUUCAAUUAUCCCACGUUUUCUUUCAGAUUCUUGAGGCAUGGAGAUAAAUUCAGAUUCAUUUGUGGUUUCGGAAGAUCCUGCAUAACACACUUUUUCAAGUGGAACAAAGUUCAACACUUCUUCCAACCACCCAGUUUUCGUCUCAACUUCGUCUCCCUACAAAAGAGAUAAUAGUGUACAUAGGUUCUCGUAUCUGCAUAUUCUGGAACAUAUUCAAACAAAGCGUUCAAAAUAUGCAGUUAUGGAAUAAACGUGAAUACCACUGAUGUGACAACACAAUUUUAGGUUAAAGUACAUACUAAUGUUAAACUUGCAUAAUUUUCAGUGUUGCAAAACCAAUCAAGAUCAUAUGCUCAUGAAAGUACUAUUUGUGAUACAGAUUGAUCUACUGCUCUGAAUUUGAACCCUUCACACAGACUCUUCCAUCGUAAUAUACAAUCUACCAAUAUAACUUGUAAGAAAAGGUUGAAUGUUUCUCACCUUUAUCAUUUUGAGACUAUAAGGUACUGUAACACCUGCACAGAGUUGCCCGCAUGCACUGGGCAUAUCCAGCUCCACUUUUAUGAAAUGAAAGGAAGGAAAGGAAUCCAACUUUGAAGGAAAAGAAUAUCUGGGCGAGGCAUUUGGACCUCCAUAUUCUACAAUGACGCUGAAAUUCUCCACAGGAAAAGAUGGAGAAAUUUGCCUUAGAUGAAAAAGAAAGGACUAGUUAGCUUAACUACUCCCAAAAGACAAUUUCACUAAAAGAUAUUGAACAAAGAAUCGAUAAAGCUAUGUUUUAGCAUGCAAAGAACAAUAAUGCAGCAAUUUCACGAGCAGAGAAGUAACAACAUUUUGUGGUAUCUCUUACAAUCACCAUGCUAAAAGACUGAAAAUGCUUUUCAGGCCGCAAUAUAUCAAUUCUUUGGUUCCCUUUCUAGUUCCCAAAAAAUUCAACUGUGAAAAGCUAUGAUCAUUGAUAAUGAGGAUAUGGCUAUAGGAAGAAAUAAUACUCACUCGUAAGAGAUAAUUAGACAGUCUGAAAUCGGCAGGAAACCAAGUUCUAUGGCUUCAUGAACAUUUGGUCGAUUUCCACUUGGGGAGGGACUGUUGAGGUCAUUGUAAGAUAACCCCAUGGACAUCAGUAGCCUCUUCAGCGAGGACCAAAACACUUUCUCAGCCAAAAGUAAUGCUUUGGAGUUCCCCCGGGCAAAUUCUGACUGUAAAAUCCCCUGGAUAACAGCUAGUGAUGGAUGUGAUCUUGUGAUGUCUGUCUCAUCUGAUUUGUGUUCUGUUUCAACUGCUGAGUAGAGGGUGUGCAAUCCUAUCUUCAUGGGAUUUGAGCUUCGACAUACCUUGUUAAGAUAGAUAUAUGCCACAUGGAUACCGAAGAAACACAUAUACCAUGUCAUCUGUUUAAUUGCUAAUAGUAAUGCAAACGUGAAAGUCUUAUCAUCCGCCAACUGUGUUUUGUGGACAUUUGCCUUUCUUAUGCAGUCAAUAAGCUUUCCUUUAGAUAUGCUGAGUAACUUAAGUUUAUCUUCUGAUAAAUUCUCUGAUUCAUCCUUCACAAGAGUUAAAUAGCUCUUCACAAAUUCCCCAACAAGAGCCUGAAUAUUUUCUGAAGGGCGCACACUGUGAAGUAUCAUUUCCUCUGUCUUCGGGUUUGGGUGCAUACCACCAGAUCUACAUGAAGCCUUCGAGUCAAUAGACAUACAUUUAUGGUUGGUAGUCUUAGCAGCUUCGACUCUAGACUCGAGAUUAUCUUCAAUCACAGCCUUCUUCGGAUCCAUGAAAAAGGUUAAGUCAUCAAAAGCAGACAUUGAUUUGAACAACAGCGUAGCCUUCUUAGCAUUAUCAUCCACUGCACAAUCCCUUGCUCCUGUUUUUUGGAAAGGGUUUUCCAAUAACCCAUGCGAAGUAUUAACAGGAGCAUGCUCAUCAAGGUUAGAUAUACCAUAGAAAGGUUCAGUGCAUUUCUCUACAAGUGGCUCGCAGAAAGCAUCUUCAGAGAAAAUGAAAUCAUAAACCCAUUUGUCUCCUUCUGAAGCUUCCCAGUUAUAAUCAAUGUUGAAUGUAACUAUUUCUUCAAACGGAUAAUCACAAUGGUUGUGGUUUCUUUCCUCAAGAAGGUUCCACGGCAAGUAUAUGUCAUUUGAGGCAGACAAGGAUUGAGGCUUGAUCUUUGACAAAACAUCCUCAUAAAUGAGCUCCAGAGAUCUUGUCAUCUCAUAAUCAUGUAAAAUAGGAGUAGGCAAAGACUUGAAGGCAUCAUCUGUGAAGGCAAGUUCGGAACUGACAACUAAUUCAUCGAAAUCCUUGAAGUUCAUCUCUUUACUGAACAUACCGUAACAGAUUUCUGGUUCAAUGGCUUUUUGAAGACAAAGGAAGAUAUCAAAAACAUCAGAGAUAUCCACAUCCAGGAUCUGGAAUUCCUCAUAAGUUACUGGUACAGCCACCUUUCCCUGAAAUUCCUCAGCAUUUGAUAUUUCCAGGAUAGUCACUAUAUCCAUUUCAGAAAAUUCAUCCUCUGGUACCACAUCAGAUUGGCCACUCUUGUUCAAAUAGCAAUCCGUAGAGAGUACAUCCAAUAGAUCAUAAUCCUUUGAGCCUAUAAGCUCCUUAGAAUUGAUAAUGAGAGAACUCCCUGCAUUAGUGUCUUGGGGUUCAAUCGUCUCAAGAACAGUAAAUACUUUAUCAAGCACAGAUAAGCUUGAUAGUUCGCUCAAGUUUACUUCAUCCACUUCUAGAAGGGGAAAUCUGGCAUCUUUGAACCAUGGUUGAAUCUUGCGGAAGCAUUCAUUUUCUGCUACAGAAGUGUUGUUCUCUGUAAAGUAAUCAGAAGGAAUGUAAUCAACAGAAUAAAUCUGCUCUUGAAUGUCCUUUGAGUUCUGCAGGAUAAUAUCUGACCCCUCAUAUUUAACCUGCAAUAAGAAGACUAGCUAAAAUCAGAUGAUGCCAAGAACAGGAACCAGCUCUACCACUCUACAGCAAAAGCAAAAACUACUGUUGUGUGUGCCAACUAAAAUCAACUCAGGGAUUUACCGGGUCAUUUUUGAUCUCUAGAACUUCAGAGAAACAUUGGAGAUGAUCCUCACUCGUGCAUAAGAGCUUGUUCUCCUGUAUAUCAAAAGAUGCUUUAUCUCGCAAUGAAAAAGAAAAAGCUGAACUAGUUCAAUUAGUACAAUGCUUACACAGCUUGAGCAAUACCAUCUCAAAAUCCAACUCUGGAGUCUCCAACUCAAUAAUUUUAGGUGUAGCUUUAUCCGCAAUGGCAUCUCCGUCAUCCUUCUGCAAAUAGAUCAUAACUUCGGUUUUCAAACUCCGGUAAGAUUCGCUUAAGCUACCAAAAUUUCCAACCCAAGUAUGAAUAUAAGAUCUAAGCAACAAUCAGAAAUGGAAACUGAGAAAACACACCACAAAUUUCGAAAAAUCUACAACCAAUCUCACUAUAAGAAACAAAGGACCGUUGACAGAAACAGUCAGCGAGACUCAGGAAAUUCGAAAUUUCACCUCCAGGAACUGAUAAUAUCUAGAUCGAAGGAACUUUACCUCGUCUGAGUAAUAAACUCCGAGCGAAGAGUCGUCGAUUUCAAAAACUCGAUAGUCCACACUGACGCGGUCGGGAACCACGUCGGAAAGGAACUUCGACAAAGCAGCUUCAAUAGGCAAAUUUCCGAUAGGGAUACUAACAUUUUCGAUCGAGCCAAAUCGGAGACGGUCUUCUUCUCCGUUGUAGACGAUGGGUGCCGGGAAAUUAUCAGGAGCCGGAAGAUUGAGGAAGCCUAGGGUUUCAAAUACGUGAGAAGGUGGAGUAGAGAAGUAAUCGAUGUUGAGAAAUCGAGUUCGCAUCGUAAUUUUCUAGAUCCGUCUUGGGAGCUCAGACUGUAUCAGUGAUGAUGAUGAUGAUGAAGAAGAGAACGAAUUUUGAAAUUGGCGGUUUUGAAUUUUUAAGAAAUUAAAAAAUAUCCCCCGUCGAUUUCAAGAGGGAGAUGGAGAUACCAAAGCAACUCUCGCCACUUGUCGUCUUUUAAUUUUAAUUGAGUACGUUAUGCCGUUUUAAAUGUUCAAAACAGCACACAGUUGAUAGCUGAAUUGAUUUUUUCUUUUGCCGUUUUGUUAUAUUUAAACAACACACAGUGCAUUUGCCAAAUAACUACAUGAUGGGCCAAUAAACGUGGACCGACUAAAACUAAAUAAUAGAAGAUACAUCGAUAGGCUUCUCUAAAGAUCGGAUAAAAGAUAAUGUCGCAUAGCCACGUAGAGAGCAACUGGCUGAGACGUGGCAGGACGAAACGGACGCAUCGUACGUGUCAGAAUCCUACAGAAGUAAAGAGACAGAAGCCAGAGAGAGGUGGUUCGGCCAUAUGUCAUCGUUCUCUCUAUAAACUUUAUGGAACUUUGUUCUGAUUUUCUCAGAGACACGAAAAGAAAGAAAACAACACUAGAACAAAGAGGGUUUGAUUGAUUCACUUGAAAAAGAGAAAACACAGCUUUGGAAAAUGGAGUCACAGUUGACACGUCCUUAUGGUCAUGAGCAAGCAGAAGAACCAAUCAGAAUUCACCAUCCAGGUAUAUAUAUAUCUAUGACAGAAGAUUCUAAUUUGAGAACUUUUCUCUUAAUUUGCCUUAUUUAUUGUGAUUCGGAUACAGAAGAAGAAGAGCAUCAUGAGAAGGGAGCAUCCAAAGUGUUGAAGAAAGUAAAAGAAAAGGCUAAGAAAAUCAAGAACAGUCUCACUAAACAUGGAAAUGGUCAUGAUCACGAUGUGGAAGAUGAUGAUGAUGAGUAUGACGAGCAAGACCCAGAAGUUCACGGCGCACCAGGUUAAUUUCUCUGUAUUAAAGUCCUCGUCAAUCAGCAGUUAUAUUUUUUUGUGUAUUAACGGUUUUUCUGUUUUUUUAUGUGUAUGCACAGUGUAUGAAUCCUCUGCCGUGAGAGGUGGUGUAACGGGUAAACCUAAGUCUCUUAGUCAUGCCGGAGAAACUAAUGUUCCGGCAUCGGAGGAGAUUGUUCCUCCAGGGACAAAAGUUUUUCCUGUCGUGUCUUCUGACCACACCAAACCCAUUGAGCCUGUAUCAUUACAAGAUACCUCUUACGGACAUGAGGCACUGGCUGAUCCUGUAAGAACGACGGAAACAUCGGACUGGGAAGCGAAAAGAGAGGCACCGACUCAUUAUCCUCUCGGAGUGUCAGAAUUUUCAGACAGAGGAGAGAGCAGAGAGGCUCAUCAAGAGCCAUUGAACACUCCUGUGUCUCUGCUUUCAGCAACAGAGGACGUGACUAGGACGUUUGCUCCUGGUGGUGAAGAUGACUAUCUCGGUGGUCAACGGAAAGUCAACGUCGAGACGCCAAAACGUUUGGAGGAAGAUCCGGCUGCUCCAGGAGGAGGAUCGGAUUAUCUCAGUGGUGUAUCUAAUUAUCAGUCCAAAGUUACUGAUCCCACGCAUAAAGGUAAUGACUUUGGCCGAGACUUUUUUUAGGGUUUAUGAAUCUGUAAUAACUCUUGUCUGUUCUGUUUAAGGUGGAGAAGCUGGAGUACCAGAGAUUGCUGAGUCUCUUGGUAGAAUGAAAGUGACUGAUGAGUCUCCUGAUCAGAAAUCAAGACAAGGACGCGAAGAAGACUUUCCGACGAGAAGCCAUGAGUUUGAUCUGAAGAAGGAAUCUGAUAUCAACAAGAAUUCUCCGGCAAGAUUUGGAGGGGAAUCAAAAGCUGGGAUGGAGGAAGAUUUUCCGACAAGAGGUGAUGUGAAAGUAGAGAGUGGAUUGGGAAGAGACUUACCGACGGGAACUCAUGAUCAGUUCUCACCAGAACUAUCUCGUCCCAAAGAGAGAGAUGAUUCUGAGGAAACCAAAGAUGAGUCGACACAUGAGACAAAACCAAGCACCUACACAGAGCAGUUAGCUUCAGCUACAUCAGCCAUAACUAACAAAGCUAUAGCCGCAAAGAACGUCGUUGCCUCAAAGCUAGGUUACACCGGAGAGAAUGGCGGCGGGCAAAGCGAGAGCCCUGUAAAAGAUGAAACUCCGAGAUCUGUUACUGCUUACGGGCAGAAAGUGGCGGGAACUGUUGCUGAGAAGUUGACUCCGGUUUACGAAAAAGUCAAAGAAACAGGAUCAACGGUGAUGACAAAGCUACCUCUCUCCGGAGGUGGAAGUGGAGUGAAGGAGACGCAACAAGGGGAAGAGAAAGGUGUGACGGCUAAAAAUUAUAUAUCAGAGAAGCUGAAACCUGGAGAAGAGGACAAAGCUUUAUCGGAAAUGAUAGCUGAGAAACUUCAUUUUGGAGGAGGAGGAGAGAAGAAGACAACGGCUACAAAGGAGGUGGAAGUGACGGUUGAGAAGAUACCUUCCGACCAGAUAGCGGAGGGGAAAGGACAUGGUGAGGCGGUUGCAGAGGAAGGAAAAGGUGGAGAAGGAAUGGUGGGGAAAGUUAAAGGAGCGGUCACUUCUUGGCUCGGUGGUAAACCGAAGUCGCCACGGUCCGUUGAAGAGUCUCCACAAUCACUUGGCACCACCGUUGGUAAAACUCCCUCGUCCUUGUGUUACACGUAAUGUUAAGAUUUUGAUGUGUGUAUUAUUUUUGUAAUUUUACUCAAAAUGUUUUGGUUGCUAUGGUAGGGACUAUGGGGUUUUCGGAUUCCGGUGGAAGUGAGUUGGGAGGCAGUGGCGGAGGUAAGGGAGUUCAAGAUUCUGGGAACUGAAGAUUUGGGGUUUUGCUUUUGAAUGUUUGUGUUUUUGUAUGAUGCCUCUGUUUGUGAACUUUGAUGUAUUUUAUCUUUGUGUGAAAAAGAGAUUGGGUUAAUAAAAUAUUUGCUUUUUUGGAUAAGAAACUCUUUUAGCGGCCCAUUAAUAAAGGUUACAAAUGCAAAAUCAUGUUAGCGUCAGAUAUUUAAUUAUUCGAAGAUGAUUGUGAUAGAUUUAAAAUUAUCCUAGUCAAAAAGAAAGAGUAGGUUGAGCAGAAACAGUGACAUCUGUUGUUUGUACCAUACAAAUUAGUUUAGAUUAUUGGUUAACAUGUUAAAUGGCUAUGCAUGUGACAUUUAGACCUUAUCGGAAUUAAUUUGUAGAAUUAUUAAUUAAGAUGUUGAUUAGUUCAAACAAAAAUUUUAUAUUAAAAAAUGUAAACGAAUAUUUUGUAUGUUCAGUGAAAGUAAAACAAAUUAAAUUAACAAGAAACUUAUAGAAGAAAAUUUUUACUAUUUAAGAGAAAGAAAAAAAUCUAUCAUUUAAUCUGAGUCCUAAAAACUGUUAUACUUAACAGUUAACGCAUGAUUUGAUGGAGGAGCCAUAGAUGCAAUUCAAUCAAACUGAAAUUUCUGCAAGAAUCUCAAACACGGAGAUCUCAAAGUUUGAAAGAAAAUUUAUUUCUUCGACUCAAAACAAACUUACGAAAUUUAGGUAGAACUUAUAUACAUUAUAUUGUAAUUUUUUGUAACAAAAUGUUUUUAUUAUUAUUAUAGAAUUUUACUGGUUAAAUUAAAAAUGAAUAGAAAAGGUGAAUUAAGAGGAGAGAGGAGGUAAACAUUUUCUUCUAUUUUUUCAUAUUUUCAGGAUAAAUUAUUGUAAAAGUUUACAAGAUUUCCAUUUGACUAGUGUAAAUGAGGAAUAUUCUCUAGUAAGAUCAUUAUUUCAUCUACUUCUUUUAUCUUCUACCAGUAGAGGAAUAAACAAUAUUUAGCUCCUUUGUAAAUACAAAUUAAUUUUCGUUCUUGACAUCAUUCAAUUUUAAUUUUACGUAUAAAAUAAAAGAUCAUACCUAUUAGAACGAUUAAGGAGAAAUACAAUUCGAAUGAGAAGGAUGUGCCGUUUGUUAUAAUAAACAGCCACACGACGUAAACGUAAAAUGACCACAUGAUGGGCCAAUAGACAUGGACCGACUACUAAUAAUAGUAAGUUACAUUUUAGGAUGGAAUAAAUAUCAUACCGACAUCAGUUUGAAAGAAAAGGGAAAAAAAGAAAAAAUAAAUAAAAGAUAUACUACCGACAUGAGUUCCAAAAAGCAAAAAAAAAGAUCAAGCCGACACAGACACGCGUAGAGAGCAAAAUGACUUUGACGUCACACCACGAAAACAGACGCUUCAUACGUGUCCCUUUAUCUCUCUCAGUCUCUCUAUAAACUUAGUGAGACCCUCCUCUGUUUUACUCACAAAUAUGCAAACUAGAAAACAAUCAUCAGGAAUAAAGGGUUUGAUUACUUCUAUUGGAAAGAAAAAAAUCUUUGGAAAAUGGAUCAAACAGAGGAACCACCACUCAACACACACCAGCAGCACCCAGGUAGAUUCUAAUUUCAGAAACUUAUAUUUUUUUUAAGUGACAAUCCUCUGAAUUUACUUAAACUUAUUGUGAUUUAUGGAUACAGAAGAAGUUGAACAUCAUGAGAAUGGUGCGACUAAGAUGUUUAGGAAAGUAAAGGCUAGAGCUAAGAAGUUCAAGAACAGUCUCACUAAACAUGGACAAAGCAAUGAGCAUGAGCAAGAUCAUGAUUUGGUUGAAGAAGAUGAUGAUGAUGACGAGCUAGAACCUGAAGUGAUCGAUGCACCAGGUUACUUUCUUUUGUAGUUUCAUUCAACUUAUGAUCUAAAAACUAUUGGUUAUUCAAUUUUGCGUGACAUUAACGGUUUGGUAUCUGUAUAUGCAGGCGUAACAGGUAAACCUAGAGAAACUAAUGUUCCAGCAUCGGAGGAAAUUAUUCCACCAGGGACAAAGGUGUUUCCUGUCGUGUCUUCCGAUUACACCAAACCCACUGAAUCUGUACCAGUACAAGAGGCCUCUUACGGACACGAUGCACCGGCUCAUUCUGUAAGGACGACGUUUACAUCGGACAAGGAAGAGAAAAGAGAUGUACCGAUUCAUCAUCCUCUGUCCGAAUUGUCAGACAGAGAAGAGAGUAGAGAGACUCAUCAUGAGUCAUUGAACACUCCGGUCUCUCUGCUUUCUGGAACAGAGGAUGUAACGAGUACGUUUGCUCCAAGUGGUGAUGAUGAAUAUCUUGAUGGUCAACGGAAGGUCAACGUCGAGACCCCGAUAACGUUGGAGGAAGAGUCGGCUGUUUCAGACUAUCUUAGUGGUGUAUCUAAUUAUCAGUCCAAAGUUACUGAUCCCACCAAAGAAGGUAAGAACUUUGACCUUUUAAGAUUGUGUUUUUCUUUAGUGAUUAUGAAUAUGUAAUAACUCUGUUACGUUGUGUUUGGUUUAGAAACUGGAGGAGUACCGGAGAUUGCUGAGUCUUUUGGUAAUAUGGAAGUGACUGAUGAGUCUCCUGAUCAGAAGCCAGGACAAUUUGAAAGAGACUUGUCGACGAGAAGCAAAGAAUUCAAAGAGUUUGAUCAGGACUUUGACUCUGUUCUCGGUAAGGAUUCGCCGGCGAAAUUUCCAGGUGAAUCAGGAGUUGUUUUCCCGGUGGGCUUUGGUGACGAGUCAGGAGCUGAGCUGGAAAAAGAUUUUCCGACGAGAAGUCAUGAUUUUGAUAUGAAGACUGAAACUGGAAUGGACACGAAUUCUCCAUCAAGAAGCCAUGAAUUUGAUCUGAAGACUGAAUCUGGAAACGACAAGAAUUCUCCGAUGGGCUUUGGUAGUGAAUCAGGAGCUGAGCUGGAAAAAGAAUUUGAUCAGAAGAACGAUUCUGGAAGAAACGAGUAUUCGCCGGAAUCUGACGGCGGUUUAGGAGCUCCGUUGGGAGGAAAUUUUCCGGUGAGAAGUCAUGAGUUGGAUCUGAAGAACGAAUCUGAUAUCGACAAGGAUGUGCCGACGGGAUUUGACGGAGAACCAGAUUUUCUGGCGAAGGGAAGACCUGGAUACGGUGAGGCAUCAGAAGAGGAUAAAUUUCCGGCGAGAAGUGAUGAUGUGGAAGUAGAGACUGAGCUGGGAAGAGACCCAAAGACGGAGACUCUUGAUCAAUUCUCACCGGAACUUUCUCAUCCUAAAGAAAGAGAUGAGUUUAAGGAGUCCAGAGAUGAUUUUGAGGAGACGAGAGAUGAGAAAACAGAGGAGCCAAAACAGAGCACUUACACAGAGAAGUUUGCUUCAAUGCUAGGUUACUCCGGAGAAAUUCCGGUGGGAGAUCAAACUCAAGUGGCGGGAACUGUUGAU
rnacentral:lncRNA from 1 species